CCCCUCCUCGGCACGGGAGCGCUUGCUUCCGGUCGUCCCCCGAGACCCGGCGACCCUCUCCCGGCCCGGCCCGGCCCGGCCCGGCCGCCCGGGCCUCGCGCAGAGAAGCAUCCCCGCGGCCACUACGACUCCGCGCUCGCCCUCACGCAGCGCCCGCGCGGAGGCGGGGAGGGGGCGUGGCUGGCCCUUCUAGGCCUCGGCAGCCAAUGAGCGUGCCGCGUGCCUUCCGGUCGGCGAGCCGGCCAAUCCGCGCUGGGCGCUGUCAUCUUCGGCUCCGCUCGGCUCUUUUCGCUGCUGCGGGAGCCUGGGGGCCGCGGCCGCUCGGGAGACGCUUUCCUUUCUAAUUUUUUUUCCAUGUGUUCACUUCCGGGUCCGGCGCCGAUCCGGAUGCCCGAGGCAGAAGGAUGUUUGACCUCCGGAUAAGCGAGGCGCCGCCGUGCAUUCAUUCCCGGCCGCAUCGGUGGCGGCAGCAGCGACCCGGGCGGCGACUCUCCGGCCAGAGGCGGCGGUAGGAGGCCCCGGCAGGCGUGCGGGGAGCGCGUCGGCGCCGAGCUGCGUUCCCUCCCUCGCUCGCUGCUUCCCCCUGCCUCGCUCGCCCGCCCGCUCCCUCCCUGCGUGGCUCGCUUUCCUCCUCCGGUCGCCGGCGGCUGGGAUGUGCCGCCGCCGCCGCCGCUGACGGACGGAGCAGGGGCGCCGCCCGCGCCCGGGACCGACCCCCAGCUCGCGGCCGCGCCUCCGAGGCACUGAAAGAAACCUGCCAUCAGACAAACUGUGUGGCUUUGGCAUGGCUGCUCUGGAAUGUACAGACACCACGGCUUCCAGGGGAGCUUGCAUUUCUGGAUAUGCAUCAGGUAUUCGUAGUUCGUAUUAGGAUGGGGACAGAAAGGUUCAUUUUAAUGUUGAUAGGUCUGAGACUUUGUGGGCGGGACUCAGAAAAUGAUACUCUUCAGUGCUGCUUUAGUGUGCUCAGUGAUGUCUCCCGCCACUCAUCAGCUCAAGAAUCUGUACAUUAUGUCCUUAUUGAUAUUUUCAUUGUUCACUUCCCAGAGCACUGCCUGUUAACAAAAUCUCCACGACGGUAUUCAUUUAUUCCUUCAACUAAAAAGACAGGAAUUCUAGUCUAGGUGUAGUGUAGUAGCUUUAGCAUGUGCAAGGGAUGUUUACUCUGUUGUGAGGACGGAAGAGUGGUUAAAAUAUGAAGAUGAAUCAGACCCAGCCGUCAUCUUAAACGGAGAAGCAGACAUGCACUGAAAUAGUUGCAACACAAGACACCUGUGGGAUUUAUUACAGGUGCAUGGAAGCCCGGUGUGUGUGUAUGUAUGCGUGUCUGUAUGCGUGUGUGUGUGUGUGUGUGAGAGAGAGGGGAGGGGAGAUAGAGACAGAGAGACAGAUCUUUUUUGACUGGGGAAUUCUGAAUUACUUUGGAGUUGGCAACACUCCAUUUGGGCAUUAAAAUAUUAUAGUGUGCCUAAUGGGAUUUGGCGUGUGUGUGUGUGUGUGUGUGUAUGUACGUGUGUAUGUACGUGUGUAGGGAGUUAGUGUUCUAGGCAAAGAAAACAGCUGGAGCACAGGCAUGUAGGUUGGGUCUUACCGGGGCGUGUUAGCUGGAUACGAGGCUGUGCCAAGGAGGUCUUUGUGAGAGAGGAAGCUGAGAAAAUAGGUGGAGAUCAGGCCAUGGAAGUCCAGAAUGCCUUGUAUUUAAAAAAUGAGUCAGUUUGAGGCAUAAAGUUCCAAAUGUCCAGAUGUUAUGCUUCGAGGAAGUAGGUAGGCAACAAGUAAGGAUAGUAGUUCAAGGAAACAAAGUAUAACCGAGAAAUCAACCUGUUAGCAUUUAUGCUAAUGCAGAAUGUGGAGAAGUUCCUAAUCAGCAACAAUCCAUACCUGGCUUUGUCCUGUUUCUGUACUUGAAUUUGAAUAUGGGUGUGUGUGUAAUCUGGUCAUUGGUUGUAUAUGACAUGAAUCCGGUUGUAAAGAUGAUCCUCCAGAAGAAAUGAGAAGCUCUCUAUUUCUCUGUAAUCCCCUCCAUCCCGGCAGUAGGGUAGUUUUCUGGUGUAGUUGAUGAUUCAGAGUUCUUCGAAGGGAACAAGUGGUGUUCAAGUGUCAGAGGGCCCCAAAGAUAUAUUUUUAAAAUUUAUUCAUGAGCGACAGAGAGAGAGAGAGCGGAGACACAGGCGGAUGGAGAAGCAGGCUCCACACAGGGAGCCCGACGUGGGACUGGAUCCCUGGUCUCCAGGAUCUAAGCCUCUGAGCCACCCAGGGAUCCCGGCAAGGGAUACUUCAAACUAAAUAGAGGGAAUGCUGAAAUACUAAACAACAAAACAAAACAAAACACGGGUCAUUGGAUAAUUAUUAUUAUUUAAUGUGAGAUUCACUACGGAUAAAGUGAAAUGUAAGGAAUCUACCUACAGGGAGGGGAGAAUUGACCAUAACAGUGGGAUCAUAAAAUGGGAAACCUCCACAGUUCUGGAUAAUAUGUGUAAGGUCUUUAGUUAUCUUAAAUGUGAAAUGACCCUAAAAUCAUUUAAUCCUAAACUUUAUCGCUACCAAAGAAGUACUCGGAGAGAUACCGCCCUCACGGUAACAGUGGUUAUGUCCGUGUGGACUCACAUUACAAGGAAGAUUGCGUGAUGGAUUUUGCCAACUAUUCCCCUGUAGGUGUUCAAAAAGGAUUUCCGUAACAGAUUUUGUAUUAUGGUGAACCUUCCAAUGACAGCACUAAUACCUGUUAAAAUUUAUUAAGUGCCUGCUUUCUUGUUGUUUUUUAAGAGGUUUUAUUUAUUCAUGAGAGAACAGAGAGAGAGGCCGAAUCAUAGGCACAAGGAGAAGCUGGCUCUGUGUGGGAGCCCAGUGCGGGACUUGAUCCCAAGGCCUCGGGAUCAGGCCUUGAGGGAAAGGCAGACAUUCAAGUACUGAGCCACCCAGGCGUCCCGUAGCGGGGUAUAUUUUUAAAUCAUUAUUUUUUUUGCCCCCGACUUCAGUGUUUAAGACUCUGAAGUUAUCUGUUUUUUGUUUUUGUUUUUUGUUUUCCUGAUCUUCCGUUCUCUUCCUCUUUCGCGUUUUCCCGAGGUUGGCACUUUGUGAUAUUGAUUCGUAGUGUUCGUAUGUGUUUGGGUGUUGGUUCUUCAAGAUGGACCUUUUUUGGAAAUGACCAUUUGGUGGAUAUCUGGUAGCUCUUUAAUUGUAGAGAUUCCAUAGGAACGACAGUAUGGUUCUACGUGACUAAAGACACCUCAGCGUAUCCUUUCGUGUUGAUCAACAGGUCAGAACCGUGUUUGGGUUUCACGUUGUGUAGAAAUCAAGUGUGUAUUAUCCAUGAAUGUGAAGUGACUUUGGAGAGGUACUGCAUUACUCAGGAAAUACGAAGUGAGAGAGGUCGGAAGACAGAUAAGGUCUACAGACACAUGAGAGGCUGCUAAUAGACACUUUUUUUCUUUUUUCUUUUCUCGCUGCCUUCUUAAAGCUGGGAUUUAGAAAUCAUAAGUGUAUCCUAAAUUGUAGGUUUUCCUACUAUUAUUGAGGUGAAUACUGAUUUGUUCUUAAACUAUCGUAGGUGCUUGGUUACAUUAUACUCUGCCCUGCUGCUCCCUGCCCAUCAUCUUUGUAAUGAGAAAGGAUUCUUAAUGAUCUUGAAGUGUUUAUGGAUUUGGUAGAGAAGACAGCCCCUUUGGACGUUUUCUGGACUAAUAAUAGAUCAUAGAGUUAUAAUUUAAUUUGACGCAAGUCUAUAGUUGAGUUCUAUCCGCAUAUGCCUAGAUCUGCAUCCACAUAUUUUAUAGCUUUCAGUGCAAUUUAGUAAAAUCUUUGAUACUCCUUUUCCUAGGAUACCUAUGAGUCGUUGGAGGGUUGAUCGGUGGGUAGAAUAAAGAGUGACUCUUGAGAACAGAAUACCUUAGGAGAUUCUGUUUAACUCACCUGUUCACUGAAAAGAUUGAUACUCUUCCUUCAUUUACUGGUUUAUGCGCAUGCUAUAUUAAGUUGCAGUAGACCGCUCUCUAGUUUGUGUUUGAAUUUUUAUUCCCUUUUGUUAUAUUAUGCUUACAAAAGUUAUUUGUGUUUGCCCCCAACAAGUUGUUGGUAUUUGGUGUUGUAA
rnacentral:lncRNA from 1 species